UACGUAGGAUCCGAGCGUUAUCCGAAUUUACUGGGCGUAAAGCGCGUGCAGGCGGUUUGGUAAGUUGGAUGUGAAAGCUCCCGGCUCAACUGGGAGAGGCCGUUCAAAACUACCAGACUCGAGGACGGUAGAGGGAGGUAGAAUUCCCGGUGUAGUAGUGAAAUGCGUAGAUAUCGGGAGGAAUACCAGUGGCGAAGGCGGCCUCCUGGACCGUUCCUGACGCUCAGACGCGAAAGCUAGGGGAGCGAACGGG
rnacentral:rRNA from 1 species